rnacentral:rRNA from 1 species
UACGGAGGGUGCAACCGUUGCCCGGAAUUAUUGGGCGUAAAGCGCACGUAGGCGGCCGACUAAGUCGGGUGUGAAAGCCCUGGGCUCAACCCAGGAAGUGCACUCGAAACUGAUCGGCUUGAGUAUGGAAGAGGGUCGCGGAAUUCCCGGUGUAGAGGUGAAAUUCGUAGAUAUCGGGAGGAACACCAGUGGCGAAGGCGGCGACCUGGGCCAAUACUGACGCUGAGGUGCGAAAGCGUGGGGAGCAAACAGG